rnacentral:rRNA from 1 species
AGAGCGAACGCUGGCGGCAGGCCUAACACAUGCAAGUCGAGCGGCCGUAGCAAUACGGCAGCGGCAGACGGGAUAGUAACACGUGGGAACGCGCCCUUCGGUUCGGAAUAACUCAGGGAAACUUGAGCUAAUACCGGAUACGCCCUUACGGGGAAAGAUUUAUUGCCGAAGGAACGGCCCGCGUCCGAUUAGCUAGUUGGUGAGGUAAUGGCUCACCAAGGCUACGAUCGGUAGCUGGUCUGAGAGGAUGACCAGCAUCACUGGGACUGAGACACGGCCCAGACUCCUACGGGAGGCAGCAGUGGGGAAUAUUGGACAAUGGGCGCAAGCCUGAUCCAGCCAUGCCGCGUGGAUGAUGACGGCCUUAGGGUUGUAAAGUCCUUUUAACGGGGAAGAUAAUGACGGUACCGUAGAAUAAGCCCGGCUAACUUCGUGCCAGCAGCCGC